rnacentral:rRNA from 1 species
AACGAACGCUGGCGGCAGGCCUAACACAUGCAAGUCGAGCGAAGCCUUCGGGCUUAGCGGCGGACGGGUGAGUAACGCGUGGGAACGUGCCCUUUGCUACGGAAUAGCCCCGGGAAACUGGGAGUAAUACCGUAUGUGCCCUUCGGGGGAAAGAUUUAUCGGCAAAGGAUCGGCCCGCGUUGGAUUAGGUAGUUGGUGGGGUAAUGGCCUACCAAGCCGACGAUCCAUAGCUGGUUUGAGAGGAUGAUCAGCCACACUGGGACUGAGACACGGCCCAGACUCCUACGGGAGGCAGCAGUGGGGAAUCUUAGACGAUGGGGGAAACCCUGAUCUAGCCAUGCCGCGUGAUCGAUGAAGGCCUUAGGGUUGUAAAGAUCAUUCAGUGGGGAAGAUAAUGACUGUACCCACAGAAGAAGCCCCGGCUAACUCCGUGCCAGCCGCCGCAGUAACAC